AGAAAUAAUUGCUGCUACAGAUAAUUCAGAUAUUGCUUUAACAACAAUGAAUUAUUGGGCUGUGGAAAAACAUUGUCCUCUCAUAAAAAUAAUACGAAGUUAUGAGCAUUCUUUUAGCCAAACAAAUAUAUCAAUACAAAAUAUCGAUACAUUAGAAAUUCCUUGCUUACCGAUAACUUUUACUACUCAGACGGAUUCCAAUUUUAGCAAUUUCUUACAUAUUUCAUUAUGCAAAGGACAUUUAAUUUUAUCAACAUUUAAAGAGGAUGGUUGGAUGAUUUUCAAUAUACAACAAAUUGCAGGAGAACUCAAAUUCAUUAUAUUCAUAGAUGUAAUAUCGUAUUUGCAUCGAGAAGAAGAUUAUAUAGCAUGGUAUCCUAUGUUUAAAGCUCUGGAAUACAUAUUUAGCACUUUUUCUGUAGCCAUGAUGCAAGUUAAAAUGUGGACUUUUAAGAAUUACAUACACCAUGCAUUAAACGAGGUACUUAAAAGAAUCAAAUAUGAAGAAAUUGAUGAUAGUGACGACCUUAGAAAAUGUUUACGACAAGAAGCUGCAAGAUGAGCAUGUUUUUUCGGCGACUUCGAAUGUAAGACAGAAGCCAACAAUAAAUUAGUACAACAUCUACAAAAUUCUAUAAAGCACAAACUUUUGCCAUGGUGGAAGGAAUGGACAUAUUGUAACGGUUUCAUGAUAAUCAACGAAAAAAUCAUUUGGCAAUCAGUGUAUGAUGUAGGAUUGAAUAAAUCUGACACUAAAUUUUUAGAAUACUUGGCUUGCUCUGAAGAUACUGAUGUCAUCAAUAAUUAUUUAAACAAUCUAAUAUACUAUUACCAGUACAAUUAUAGGAAGGACUAUCAAUAUCUUUUUAACAGUUUGUUUUAUAUUAAUAUUAUUACGAAGCAUGCGAAGAAUCAAAUUACACUGCAGUACAUAUUAAACAAUUUUCAAAAAAUAAAACCAAGGUAAUGUGGCAUAUUUUUAUAAAUAUUGUGUACAAAAGUUUAUUAUGUGUAUUAUUAUACAUCUGUUUUAUCGCUUUUAGUAGUGAUAUGAAACCUGCAGUAUUUAUUAUUAUUAUUAACAACGUAUAUUUUGUAGAUCAAACUGAGCUAAUAAAGGAAUACGUCGAAACAUGGUACACGACAUUUGCAGGCACGUUUCAUAAAAUAAAUAACACAGAAGAUUUACUGAAAAAACAUCAAUUAAAGGAUUCCAUAAUAGAGAAUUUGGACAAAAUUAAGAGCAAAGUAUUAAUUCGCAAGAAACAAAUCAAAAGAGAGAAACAGUAUUUUGAAAAUUUUUUCUUCUAAUUGGUGGAUGUAA